AGGUAAUUAUUUGGUUCCUGUUCAUUAUAAUGACAAGUUUCUCUUAAUUACUUAUGCAGUUCACAGCAAAUCAUCCAUGAAAAGUACUGUGUUUUGGAUUCUAGUUUUAUAUUGCAUCAUAUGCUUAUUCUAGAAAUGUUGUCCAACAAUGCCCUUGUCAUUAUUCUCAUUCCUAAGUAAGUUCAUUUAUUUAUUUAUUUUCUGCAUUGUCUUGAUGGGUCAAGUGGCGGCUUAAUGUGAUUGUUGAUGUUCAAGUAUUGAAUAAUUUGCAUGCAGAAUACUCUAUUCAAACAGAGAGAUAAAUUACUUAUUGGCCAUUAUAAUUUUUAGUUAUAUGAAAAGCUACUGAAUUGGAGGGAUGCAACAAACUGAAAUUCAUUGCAAAAUUUCUUAUGUCACAUUAAAAUUAAUUUGUCUAAUGAACCAUUAAACAAUUGGCUAUUUAUGGUGGAAGAGGAUUUUGGUCAGUAGAGAACCAUUAUAAAACCUAAAAGUUACGCUCAAAUAGUUGCUAGAAAGAGCUAACUCUGGAAGCCAGUGAAGCAUUGUGUUGUAUUUUACGUGUACUAGAAGUUGGGCAAGGGUCAACUAGGAAGUUAUGGACAAUGCCAUAUGUUGACUGAUAACUUAAGUAGCAAAGCCCACUAUGAUGGGAUUAAGUUUUUGUUCAUUUGACUAAAGUUUGUUGAAUUAUACCAUUGGGAUCUUAAUUGGUCGGCAGUUAUGUUUUAUCUGUAUCUUUUUGAAUUGGAUGGAUUUUAUCUUUUGUAUCCCCUGUGAAUGGUUCAAAUUAAGAUGGUACGUUUCUGGCUGAAAUGCAACUUGUAAACACCACAAGCAAAUGCAUUUUCGAUUCACAUUUUAGUGUGUUGACGCGCAGAAGCAGAAUUGUUCGAAUCAUCAUUCAUUAUCACACACUAGCGAGCAUGAACAAACCCAGAUCAAAUGUGAUCCUGAUCAUGUGGCAAUACCUAAUGAUGGUAGUGAUGUCUGGGAAAUUAAUCUUAAGAACCUGAAGUUUGAGAACAAAGUUGCAUCUGGAUCAUAU
rnacentral:misc_RNA from 1 species